AGUGAGGGCGACACGGCGGCCAGGCGCAAAGGUUCCCUUCCGGAAGGCCCGGGGGCGCACACAGCGGAGGACUCAGCCCGGCAGCCGGCCCGGAGGCCCCUCUGCCUCCGCAGGUCAACCCCGGAAACCGGCCUCCCUUCUCCCCGCGCCAGGGUGACGCGCCCCCACCCGGCCCUCGCGGCCGCGCUAAGCAGGUCCCAGGAAAAGCAAGCAAGGAAUACAGCAUUGUUCACAGGCAUCCUUCAUGGCUGUGUGGAGGUGGACAGCUGGAACGCAGGUAGGAAAGGCCGUGCAAGUCCUACCAGGCUAGCAGUAGACCUGACCUUCCAAGUGAAUUUUCAAGGCACUUACUGAGGUGAAGGUCUUGGAAGGGGGUCAGGGAUUACGGAGGGAAACAGAAGAAAGAAGAGAAAGAAGAGGAAAGGAGGAAGGGAAGAUGGAAAAGAGAUGAGAUUAAAGUUAGUAUUGAAGAGAACUACUUUAGGUUCCUAGGAAAAGAUUUUUGCAUUCAUAGCAGAGGUAUUGUCUACCCACCCCCAGAUAAGCUAAUCCUCUGUGUGGCCCUUACUUCCUGUGUUCCCUGGGGAUACACAGUCCACUCCCAAGGGGCACAUACUGCACAUGGCCUGACCACAUCAUCCAGGGUGUGACUGGAAGGACACAGUACUAAUUUCCUCCUAUUUCUUAUAUCUAUUAUGAUUUUUACCCCGUUUUUACAGUGACAUGGAAAUUGUAUUAACAAAGGCUUUACAUUAAUUCAAUUAAAGAGGGAGACUAGAAAUAGUUAGGGGAGAGAAGGCUUCUAAAUUCUAGAGCCCCGUGGGGUACACUUUUAGACCAUUUAGAGCAAGAAAGUAUUCGAAUCCUGAUAAAUGAGUAUAUAGUUUCAAGGUAAAGAAUUGUUGAGGGAUCUAGACUAUUUGAUUAUAAAAUAUAAUCUACAAAUUGUAAAGACCUCUGACAUGAAAAAUCUGUAAACCAAACUAAAAACUCAAGAGAUCUUCAGU